UGUAAGCACUAGAUCUACCCUACAAGAAAUGUUCAAGAAAUGCUUCAAGUUGAAAUAAAAGGACACUGCACAGUAACUCAAAGCCAUAUGGAGAAAUAAAAGGUCUCAAUAAAGAAAUCUGAACUGAAAACAGAUGGUUAACUGCGGUGCAGACAGGGCCAGCCGUUCUGUCUAUUGUGGCAGCUGAACAAAGUGUGAGCUACAGAAUCACUGCCCUGAUGGUGACUGAAGCAGAUGAGGAGAGACGGGAGCUCACAAGCAGGAUGCUCAAACUCAGGCCAGGGGUUCAUGUACGAUCCAACUCCCAUCAGUCUGACAAGUCACUCUGAUCCAGCACGAUUAUUCUGUGUAUUUUUUAAACACACACAAAAAAAGAGUUUCAAGUGAGUAUCUAU